UACGAAGGGUGCAAGCGUUACUCGGAAUUACUGGGCGUAAAGCGUGCGUAGGUGGUUUGUUAAGUCUGAUGUGAAAGCCCUGGGCUCAACCUGGGAAUUGCAUUGGAUACUGGCAGGCUAGAGUGCGGUAGAGGGUAGUGGAAUUCCCGGUGUAGCAGUGAAAUGCGUAGAGAUGAGGAGGAACACCAGUGGCGAAGGCGGCCACCUGGACAGUAACUGACGCUGAGGCGCGAAAGCGUGGGUAGCAAACAGG
rnacentral:rRNA from 1 species